rnacentral:lncRNA from 1 species
AUGCAGCGUCGGGAGACAGUUCUUCGCGUUCCCAGAAUCACCUGGAAAAUGGAGUGCCGUGCUGGAGCCCCGCAGCAAGUCGUCUCUCUGUGUGUGUGUGUGUAUGCGCGGGCGCGCGCGUUUGUGCACUUUCUUCAGCUUUUCUCCACGUUAGCGCUGAAAGGAAGGGAGGGACGGUAUGUCGCCCAACCGGUGAAUAACCGCACCAACGAGGCGUCCUUCAGAUGUCUGGGACUACUGUUCCCAUCAGUCCCAGCCAAAAUGACUGCUGUUUGGAGAUUUAUGGGACCUGUAGCCCAAAACAUCAGCCGGACACCACGUUUUGGGAUCGGCUGUUCAAGAGCAGCACCCCUGUUUCAUCCCGCCUGCUCUUCACAAUCUUUAGCCCACAGGAAUCGUGGAAGCAGCAUCUUCUGACACAUGAGCUCUCGCUCUCUCACUGGUGGUGGCGAUGAUGGAGGAAAGCAGCAAUGGCUGUUCCCCUGUUGGCCAAGAAGGCAGACCGUUCCUCCUGAAGGGCACAUCUCACCGCUCCUGAACGAAAAGCAACACCGCUGAAGGAGAAAGAUCAAAACAACAGAGAAAAAGGAAGAUCAAUGUGCUGGCUGAGCUGGCCGAUUUUCAGUGUGCAGUUUGAUUCAAAAUAGAAAUAAUUUUCUCUAAGUGAAUUUUUUUUCCUGAAAAACAUAUGCCACGGUGGAUUGGAAACGCAAAUGCACAUGUGUGCGUGCAUCCACACACAUUUCUCUGUGUGUGUUUGUCUGGUGAUCCAAUAUGCAGCUUUCUCAUUUCAAUACUUUACAUUGUUCAGCAGGGGAGAGAAAAGAAGAGCAAGAAACUGAUGCUGAAGACUCCAGUUUGCAGUUGGUUGAUCACUUGAAAUACCCAAGAGGUGAAUUUAGCCACCUGUGCUCAGAAUCUAAAACCACUUUCGAGAGAUGGAAAUACCUCCUACUGUAGUCAGUGGAGCUUGUUUGCAUGUAAUGGGUUGAUUGCUGGAGUAGCAAUCCAUGGAUGUAUCGAAACUGAUUUUACAAGAUAACACUCUCCCUAUUUGGAAGCCUUUUUGCACCCUGUUCAUUGAGAUCAAAGGAGCUAUAUGUUUGGGACAGAGAAAAUGUGAGGUCUGCUACCAUGGACUACAUACGAGAGACAAGAGAGGGAGGUGUGUGGGAGGAAGUGGAGUCAAGGUUGCAGUCUCGAUCUAUAGGCAAGGAAGCAAAAAAGAGGCAAGACAAAGAGGGGGUGCACCAAUAAGCCCUAACUACCUCUACUUCUGAGGCCCCCUAUACAAUUCUGCAAUUUCUCCACCACCCAGCUGAGGUUCUCACCAUAGUGUUAACAAUCACCAUGAGUAACACAAGUUCAGAAGCAAACCCUUCUCAUGCAAAUCUUCAACAUGCAACCUUACUUUCAGCUGUUGUAUCUGUUGAGGGGAGGGGAUAUAUAAAUAAUGUUAGGGUAUGUUACUCUAUAUGAUACAAGAAAUUGUUGCAAGAAUUUGGUAGGAACAAUCCAAUCAUGGCCUGCAGCAGGUCUUUAGAGAUGUCACUGUUCAAAUGGAUAAGGAAAUCCAGCGCAGAAAGUACAGUUAAAUUUACAAAAUGCAUUUCAUGAUGCACUAAUCUCUCGACAUUGUCAGAAAUGAGGAUGAGGAUGUAGAGCUGUCGAAUCUUAGAAGAAAUAGCUGGCUGGACAGAAAACAGUCUUGAAAACAAUAGGAUAGAGGUAGUUUAAAAUGGAAAAUCAAUUUGCUGCUCUCCAUCUCCUUUCUGCCAUCUCUGAGCACUCUCAAAGAAUGUGCUGCAGAUUUUAAUUAUUUUUAUUUAAUGCAGACAAUCAUUCAGUCCUUCUAGAAAUCAUAUUAAUUAAAAAUAUUUGUGGCCAACGCUAAGAGAUCCUCUGUCCUGCUGUCUAGGUAUGGGAUAGCAGAAGCCUUCUAGUUCUGCAAGACAUGGGUAAUAUCCUGUACAGAGUGUAAGAGAAAUCACAUAAGCUUUUCCCUGCUUAAGAUGACCUCUUGUCAGAUGACUAAUUAUGUAACUGCAUGCACAUGACAGACAGCCUGCCGAAAGGUGACAAAUGCUUACAUGAUCACCCUUCCAUUACCACCAAAUUCAUCAAGACACCGGUCAUUUUGUUUGACCACCAUGCCUGCCUGUACAAUUCAUAACCUGUGUUCAGGUUACUAGAUAGGCGGGAUAGAAAUGUAAUAAAUAAUAAUAAAUUUCAAAUGACA